CGCCUCUCCCUCGAGGCUCGACACAGCGGCCGCCGGGCCACGGGGCGUCCCAGCCGGGUCUUUGUCCCUUGGAGGAACUGCGAUCAAAAGACGUUGUGCUUUAGCGGUCUCAAGGUGCUGCACACGUGGCAGUAAAGGUUCCUAUGUGGGAUGCUGAGCUGUAAAUUUGGCUGCUACUAAAAAACAAACGCCGCUGACAGCUUCCGAGGGCAUUGCGUUCCACCCAGCUACACCGGUACUGAGGCCAACAACUUCUGCUUGUGUUCAACUAAAGCAACAUUUCUCCUUAUGGAAAGUAUUCUGGUUUUCCUUUCUCUGCUGGAAGAAACUGAGCAACUGCUUCCAGCUCCAGGGAACAUGCAUUGGCGAGUACUGUAUUUCCAGAAAGUUUGAUUAAAUCUGAACUAAAGCAGUUCUUCCGUAAAGACAUGUUGUACUCAAGAAAGCACUGAAAAAUGAAGGAUCCACCAUAUUUCUUCAUGACUUGUCUACAGAAAGACUGAGCUAAAUCAGCAACUAGAGUGUAUAUACACUGGGCUGCCAGCUAAAAGAAGUAUUGCCCACAGCCGAGUGUGUGGAGAAAAAAAACCUUGGCAGGACAAUGUUCUGACUGACUCCUGAAUGUUUCUGUUUUCAACACUCAACUGAAUGAGUAGAAACUGAGGCUCUGCAGAGAACAGUUUGCAGAACAAGCUACCCUAUGCAUCUGAGAAUAAACCUGCAGGUAAAAAGAAACCAUCUCCUAUUGCUGCUCCCAAUCUGACUUCAUUCUUAGAAGAUCCAUCAAGAUACCUCUGACCAGCACAGUCCAGUGUAAUUUGGGUCUGCACAUGUCCAACAUGUUUUUUGCCUAGCUACUGAAUGGAGGCAGCACUGGUGUUAUUGACAGAACUCAUGUGGGGAACACACGGCGUUGGGCUGCUUGUAUCAGAGAGCAGCCAGUGUUACUCUGAGACAGGAGCCACUGGUGGAUCUCUGGAAGGCAGUCACUCUCUCCCCUUCCUUCUGGGUCUCUGAACGCUUUUGCAUUUAAAGCCGCUCUGGGCAGAACUUUAUAGCUUAUUUUUGGAUGCCAGUGAAAGAGCUAUUUGUCAAACCUUUAACUUCAGGUUGGUCAGCACAAUUUUCUGAAAAUUUAUACAGCGUUCAGUCUUUAUGUGCCAAGUAUGAAUUGCCUGCAGAGAACUACACUGCACUUACAGCAAUUGCACUUGAACUGUCAUGUUCUAGGUGGAAUCUCAAAUGUUUACUAAUCAGACAACAAGCCUUCCACAGUUCACUGUAUGAAUACCUUAAAUCUCAGCCUCUCCCACCACAGUGAAGGAAAUCAAGUGGAAACUCUGGAGCAAGUUGCUGUGUGUCCAUGACAUGCUGCAGCCAUUCACCAAGCAAAGACUUUUAAAAUCCUAUGCAAUAUAUUACAUCAGCAAAGACCUCUAAGAACAAAAAUACAGAUGGUAUUUUAUAGCUUUGACAUAUAUAAAACACACUCAGCUAGCAUAUAUUUUGCUAGAUCAUGUGAAGAAACGUUCUGUACUCCAUCAAUUACUGGUAUUGGGUAAAUCAAGUACAGAAUGAAGAACUCAGAAAAAAUUUACAUAUAUGCAAUUCAGACAGAACAUACUAGUAGCAAAUGAAGUUGCAGUCCAAAACUGAAUUAACAUACUGUGCUGGUUUUGACUGGAAUAGAAUUAAUUUUCUUCAUAGUAGCUAUUAUGGGGCUGUGUUUUGGAUUUGUGCUGGAAACGGUGUUAAUAUAGGGGUGUUUUUGUUAUCCUUGAGCAGAACUUACAGCGAAGGCCUCUUCUCCUUCUCACCCCACUCCACCCACAAGGGGGCUGGGGGUGCACAAGGAGCUGGGAGGGGACACAGCUGAGACAGCUGACCCUAACUGCCCACAGGAACAUCCCAGAUCCUAUGAUGACAAGCUCAACACAUUAAGCUGGGGGAAGAAGGAAGGGGGGAAUGUUUGGAGUGAUGGCAUUUGUCUUCCAAAAUAACUUAGGAGCCCCACAUUCCUGGAGAUGGCUGAACACCUGACUGCCAACGGGAAGUCGUGAAUUAAUUCCUUGUUUUGCUUUGUUUGUG